AGAAACGAUUCAAGAUUUUGGCUGGAGCAACGGAAAGGAGUAAUUAAUUACCAGCCAAGCUGGGGCGGCGAUGGGAGGGGCAGGCUCGCGGGGGUAAAGAUCAGAAGCUCAGGUUUGGACAUGCUGAGUCUGAGACGCCCAUUAGCCCUUCCAGGGCAGACACAAGGUGGGAGCUGACACAUGAGUCUGCAGUUCUGGAGAGAGGUCUGGGCUGGAGGUCAUGUUUGGGAGUCAGGUGGGUGGAAUUUAAAGCUCUGAGACUGGCUGAGCUCAUGAAGGGAGGCUGAGUAGUUGAGAGCAGAAGACAAAGGACCAAGCCUGGGUCUUCCGUGCUAGGCGGCGGCAGAGGAGAAGGACCCAGCCAAGCAGGCCUGUGGGCCCUUGAAGGUGGCUAAGUGUGCAACCCAUGCUCUUAUUUGCCCGUUUAGCUGAGGGAAAGAGGACGCCAGUGUAACAGCAUGAGAGACCAACUACUGCUGCACUAAGGACCCACUCAGCCACGAGGGAGGGAAAUUCAGACGUCAUCCUAGACCAUCCAGGGGCUGACAGCCACAGGGCUUGCUCUGAGAUGGCAGCCCUGGGCACCAAGGCCACAUGGAAGGAAUCACAGCUCCUGACAACUGCCUGCACUCUACAACUUAACAGAGUACUGGGUCUUCGUAUCUCACUUCAUUCUCUCACAGCCUCGGAAGAGGCAGAACAGGUGUGAGCACCCCCAGAGAAACUGCUAUCAUAAGGCCUGGAAGCUGCCCAAAGACUAUAGGGAAGCAGAAGACCUCACCUCAUUGAGAACCAGCUCACUCAACACCCACAAACUGACACCCACUCUCUGGCCUAUGUCUCUCCUCCUCCAGACAGGAACUAUGGAGCACUGUGCCUGCUACACAGACGAUCCUCAAUAAACCUGUGUAAAUGACAUCAUCCAGACAGGCCAGAGUCUGUCCUGGGGGCAACUGGCAAAGAGCCAGGCCCACGGCAGAUGCUCAGUGCCCCUGGACCUUCUGCCCUCCCCAGAUCAACACCCAACCCAGUCCUUCCCGCACCGAUUUUGCUGGGACGGGCAUCGCCUGUAGCGGCGGCGGCGAGGAGCGCGGCCAGCGCGGCGACGAGCCGGGCAGCGCGGGCCAUGGCGGGCAGCGAC